UACGGAGGGUGCGAGCGUUGUUCGGAAUCACUGGGCGUAAAGCGCGUGUAGGCGGCCCACUAAGUCUGAUGUGAAAGCCCGAGGCUCACCUUCGGAAGUGCAUUGGAAACUGGUGGACUCGAGUCCCGGAGAGGAGAGUGGAAUUCCUGGUGUAGCGGUGAAAUGCGUAGAUAUCAGGAGGAACACCGGUGGCGAAGGCGGCUCUCUGGACGGUGACUGACGCUGAGACGCGAAAGCGUGGGGAGCAAACAGG
rnacentral:rRNA from 1 species